rnacentral:rRNA from 1 species
UACAGAGGGGGCCAGCGUUAUUCGGAAUUAUUGGGCGUAAAGGGCGCGUAGGCGGCUUUUGCGUGUCUUUCGUGAAAUCCCUCGGCUCAACUGAGGACGUGCGGAAGAAACUGCAGGGCUGGAGUCCGGGAGAGGAGGGUGGAAUUCCCCAGUGUAGCGGUGAAAUGCGUAGAUAUUGGGGAGGAACACCGGUGGCGAAGGCGGCCCUCUGGACCGGUACUGACGCUGAUGCGCGAAAGCGUGGGGAGCAAACGGG